GGAGCCGGCCAGGCAAUCGCUCCGCACGGUUUUUACCGGGCGGGGAGGAAAGUCCGGGCUCCGCAGGGCAGGGUGCCAGGUAACGCCUGGGGGGCGCGAGCCUACGGAAAGUGCAACAGAAAAGAUACCGCCACGAAACGGUUCGGCCGUCGGGGUAAGGGUGAAAUGGUGCGGUAAGAGCGCACCGCGCAGGUGGCAACACGCUGCGGCAUGGUAAACCCCACCUGGAGCAAGGCCAAAUAGGAAAGCGAUGCCGCGGCCCGCGGCGCUUUCGGGUAGGCUGCACGAGGCCGCCGGCGACGGCGGUCCCAGAUGAAUGAUUGCCACGGGCGAAAGCCCGAACAGAACCCGGCUUAUCGGCCGGCUCCCUCU
rnacentral:RNase_P_RNA from 1 species